UAUCGAUCAGGGGAAGAGGAAAGAGGGGUGAAACCCUAAUUCAAGAAAAACCUUCAAAUUGAAAGGGGAAUUGAGGGCCAUUUGGAUGCAUGAACCAAGAAUGUUAAUCCCCUAAGCGUUUCCAAUAACAAUGAGGUGUAGAUGAUAAGCAUCAUGUCAAGAGGACGCAAGCACAAAUGGCAAUCGGGUCAAGAGGAGACAAGGAAAUGGUCACGAAUACGGACGCUUAAGGUAGUACGAGUCACAGAUUUUCAUUCCAAGGAGUAACGAUCAAAGACCAAGUCACAAGUCGGAUUGUACGGGAAUACUUGAUUAUGUAAAAUGAUAGUUUUAAGUUAUUCUUUUAUGUUGCAAAUAUGUACGAAAGAUAGUUUUGUUGUAAGAAGGUAUUUUAUAUU